rnacentral:rRNA from 1 species
AUACGGAGGGUCCAAGCGUUGUUCGGAAUUAUUGGGCGUAAAGCGCGUGUAGGCGGCAUGGCAAGUCGGGUGUGAAAGCCCGGGGCCCAACCCCGGAAUUGCAUUCGAAACGGUCAGGCUAGAGUCUCGGAGAGGAGGGCGGAAUUCCCGGUGUAGAGGUGAAAUUCGUAGAUAUCGGGAGGAACACCAGUGGCGAAGGCGGCCCUCUGGACGAUGUCUGACGCUGAGACGCGAAAGCGUGGGGAGCAAACAGGAUUAGAAACCCCGGUAGUCC